UGGGGAAUUUUGGACAAUGGGGGCAACCCUGAUCCAGCCAUCCCGCGUGUGCGAUGAAGGCCUUCGGGUUGUAAAGCACUUUUGGCAGGGAAGAAACAGCCUGGGAUAAUACCCCGGGCGACUGACGGUACCUGCAGAAUAAGCACCGGCUAACUACGUGCCAGCAGCCGCGGUAAUACGUAGGGUGCAAGCGUUAAUCGGAAUUACUGGGCGUAAAGCGUGCGCAGGCGGUUCGGAAAGAAAGGUGUGAAAUCCCAGGGCUUAACCUUGGAACUGCACUUUUAACUACCGAGCUAGAGUACGUCAGAGGGGGGUAGAAUUCCACGUGUAGCAGUGAAAUGCGUAGAGAUGUGGAGGAAUACCGAUGGCGAAGGCAGCCCCUGGGAUGAUACUGACGCUCAUGCACGAAAGCGUGGGGAGCAAACAGGAUUAGAUACCCUGGUAGUCCACGCCCUAAACGAUGUCAACUAGCUGUUGGGGUUUAUUAACCUUAGUAGCGCAGCUAACGCGUGAAGUUGACCGCCUGGGGAGUACGGUCGCAAGAUUAAACUCAAAGUGAAUUGACGGGGGUCAUAGCUGUUUCCU
rnacentral:rRNA from 1 species